rnacentral:rRNA from 1 species
AUUGAACGCUGGCGGCAGGCCUAACACAUGCAAGUCGAGCGGUAGCACAGAGAGCUUGCUCUCGGGUGACGAGCGGCGGACGGGUGAGUAAUGUCUGGGAAACUGCCUGAUGGAGGGGGAUAACUACUGGAAACGGUAGCUAAUACCGCAUAACGUCGCAAGACCAAAGUGGGGGACCUUCGGGCCUCAUACCAUCAGAUGUGCCCAGAUGGGAUUAGCUAGUAGGUGGGGUAACGGCUCACCUAGGCGACGAUCCCUAGCUGGUCUGAGAGGAUGACCAGCCACACUGGAACUGAGACACGGUCCAGACUCCUACGGGAGGCAGCAGUGGGGAAUAUUGCACAAUGGGCGCAAGCCUGAUGCAGCCAUGCCGCGUGUAUGAAGAAGGCCUUCGGGUUGUAAAGUACUUUCAGCGGGGAGGAAGGCGAUAAGGUUAAUAACCUUGUCGAUCGACGUUACCCGCAGAAGAAGCACC